CCCUUAGACGUUCUGGGCCGCACGCGCGCCACACUGACCAGUGCAACAAGCAUCCGUCCUUGGCCGACAGGCCCGGGCAAUCUUUGAACGCUGGUCGUGAUGGGGAUAGACUUUUGCAAUUUUUGGUCUUCAACGAGGAAUUCCUAGUAAACGCAAGUCAUCAACUUGCAUUGAUUACGUCCCUGCCCUUUGUACACACCGCCCGUCGCACCUACCGAUUGAAUGGUCCGGUGAAGCCUCCGGAUUGGCGCGCACCUCGGUGCCGCCGAGAAGUUGGCUAAACCUUACCAUUUAGAGGAAGGUGAAGUCGUAACA
rnacentral:rRNA from 1 species